rnacentral:misc_RNA from 1 species
GAAAUGCGAUACUUGGUGUGAAUUGCAGAAUCCCGUGAACCAUCGAGUCUUUGAACGCAAGUUGCGCCCGAGGCCCUCGGGUCGAGGGCACGCCUGCCUGGGCGUCACGCCUCGCAUCGGACAGCACCCACUGCCCUCCUGGGCCGGGUGUGGCUUCGGAGAUUGGCCUUUCGUGCACUCGCGUGCGGUGGGCUAAAGAGAGGGCCGCCGUUCGGGUCGGCACGACGAGUGGUGGACUUUUGUGCCAACAGGAUGUCGUGUCCCCGGACGUCAAAGAGCCAAGGACACCCGGAUUGGGCGUGCAAGAAGCUCUUCCGCAUGGGAGGGCGUGCCGCCUCGCAACGUGACCCCAGGUCAGGCGGGGACACCCGCUGAGUUUAA